rnacentral:rRNA from 1 species
UACGUAGGGGGCAAGCGUUGUCCGGAUUUAUGGGGCGUAAAGAGCGUGUAGGCGGCCAUUCAGGUCAGCUGUGAAAACUCGAGGCUCAACCUCGAGACGUCGGUUGAAACCGUUUGGCUAGAGUCCGGAAGAGGAGAGUGGAAUUCCCGGUGUAGCGGUGAAAUGCGCAGAUAUCGGGAAGAACACCCGUGGCGAAGGCGGCUCUCUGGGACGGUACUGACGCUGAGAGACGAAAGCUAGGGGAGCGAAUGGG